rnacentral:rRNA from 1 species
AUGAACGCUAGCUACAGGCUUAACACAUGCAAGUCGAGGGGCAGCAUGGUCUUAGCUUGCUAAGGCCGAUGGCGACCGGCGCACGGGUGAGUAACACGUAUCCAACCUGCCGUCUACUCUUGGACAGCCUUCUGAAAGGAAGAUUAAUACAAGAUGGCAUCAUGAGUCCGCAUGUUCACAUGAUUAAAGGUAUUCCGGUAGACGAUGGGGAUGCGUUCCAUUAGAUAGUAGGCGGGGUAACGGCCCACCUAGUCUUCGAUGGAUAGGGGUUCUGAGAGGAAGGUCCCCCACAUUGGAACUGAGACACGGUCCAAACUCCUACGGGAGGCAGCAGUGAGGAAUAUUGGUCAAUGGGCGAGAGCCUGAACCAGCCAAGUAGCGUGAAGGAUGACUGCCCUAUGGGUUGUAAACUUCUUUUAUAAAGGAAUAAAGUCGGGUAUGGAUACCCGUUUGCAUGUACUUUAUGAAUAAGGAUCGGCUAACUCCGUGCCAGCAGCCGCGGUAAUACGGAGGAUCCGAGCGUUAUCCGGAUUUAUUGGGUUUAAAGGGAGCGUAGAUGGAUGUUUAAGUCAGUUGUGAAAGUUUGCGGCUCAACCGUAAAAUUGCAGUUGAUACUGGAUAUCUUGAGUGCAGUUGAGGCAGGCGGAAUUCGUGGUGUAGCGGUGAAAUGCUUAGAUAUCACGAAGAGCUCCGAUUGCGAAGGCAGCCUGCUAAGCUGCAACUGACAUUGAGGCUCGAAAGUGUGGGUAUCAAACAGGAUUAGAUACCCUGGUAGUCCACACGGUAAACGAUGAAUACUCGCUGUUUGCGAUAUACUGCAAGCGGCCAAGCGAAAGCGUUAAGUAUUCCACCUGGGGAGUACGCCGGCAACGGUGAAACUCAAAGGAAUUGACGGGGGCCCGCACAAGCGGAGGAACAUGUGGUUUAAUUCGAUGAUACGCGAGGAACCUUACCCGGGCUUAAAUUGCAGAUGAAUUACGGUGAAAGCCGUAAGCCGCAAGGCAUCUGUGAAGGUGCUGCAUGGUUGUCGUCAGCUCGUGCCGUGAGGUGUCGGCUUAAGUGCCAUAACGAGCGCAACCCUUGUUGUCAGUUACUAACAGGUUCCGCUGAGGACUCUGACAAGACUGCCAUCGUAAGAUGUGAGGAAGGUGGGGAUGACGUCAAAUCAGCACGGCCCUUACGUCCGGGGCUACACACGUGUUACAAUGGGGGGUACAGAGGGCCGCUACCACGCGAGUGGAUGCCAAUCCCCAAAACCUCUCUCAGUUCGGACUGGAGUCUGCAACCCGACUCCACGAAGCUGGAUUCGCUAGUAAUCGCGCAUCAGCCACGGCGCGGUGAAUACGUUCCCGGGCCUUGUACACACCGCCCGUCAAGCCAUGGGAGCCGGGGGUACCUGAAGUGCGUAACCGCGAGGAGCGCCCUAGGGUAAAACUGGUGACUGGGGCU